CGCGUUUUCAUUGGCCAGCUGCCCCAGGUUUCUCCACACGCAACCUCCUCCUCUGCUCCUUUCUCUUGCUCGGCGCUGCCGGAUCUGCUGCACCGAGGGGGCACGGCGCCGCUGAGAUGCGGGGCGAUGCGCUGCCGCCUACCGCGCCCUUGGCCUUCUCUCAUCCCCUGCCCCUCCCUCCUCUACGGCGACGGCGAGCUCUUCGAGUCGGGGGCCUCGCCGCUCGUCUUCCUGCCCUGCUCCUGAUCCAGGGCGGCGGCAUGAACCUCUCCCGCGUCGACGAGAAUCUCCUCAGCUCCGUCUGCUGCGCGCGCUCCCUCGCCCUCCUCCCCCCGACCCCAGCCCCUUCCCGUGUCGAGGUUCCAGCUCGAGCUGUUGUUGCGGCGACGGCUGGAUUUGAUGUCACUGAAGUUCUAAAAAUUACAUGAUGGCUUGCUUAAUUUUCUUCAUUAAGAGCAGAGAAGGAGAGGGAAGAGAAAGACAAAGAUAUUUAGCUUUCCUUCCAGUUAUCAUUGCAUUACUUUUCUUUAGGGUUUUCGAUCAUUGGUUCUAAGAAAUUAACGCCAAGAAAGGGUGCCUUCUGAUGUCUAUAAAUCUAAGCUUUAUCUGUUCUUGGGAUCCGAUGGAAGCUUGUGAUUUAGGAUUAAUUAGAUUAUCUGAUCACAAAAGUGGCUCCUUUCUUGGUUUGUUCUUGUCCCUGUAAGCUGAGCUUCUGUCCAUCCGUCCGUAAUAGAAGAAGCUUAUUUCCUUCCUAGGCUUGUAGUAUCAUCUCAUGCUCCCUUGUGCUGUGAAUUCGUAAUGCAAUGUAUACAAAUUGGAGGCAGCCUCCCUGCUUACAGUACUACUUACUACAGUUUUUUCAUUAAUUAAUUGGCUUAACUUGUACUUGCGCCUGCGCUUUUCUGCUAGAAUAAUGGGCCUUUUGCACUAAAUCCAUCAUUAACAAUGCCAUUUUUCUAAUGCUUGCAUGCAUCCCUACGAGCAGAUUAACGUGCGCCUAAACAAUAAAAAAAAGCCGAGAUACACAUCCUUCUUGCAAGCAGGAAGACAUGAAGACGGUGACUUGAUCCGCCCAGUCCAGGGGAGGAAAGCAACAGGGAAACCCCGCCUUCUGCCACCAGUAUGAGAUAACGGCCAUGGGACACACGAUGCAUCCUGGUGCGCUUAACCCACAGCCAUCAUUUGACAGGAUUUGACAUGGAUGAUGUAGUAAGAAUGUACAUCCGAUACACACUGAAUGGAAAACAAUUCAAUCCUGAUGUGGUUCUGGAUCUCAUACGUCUUAGGAAAGCAUCAAUGUUUGAAGAUAAUGAAGUUGCUGAAAUUCUGAAUCAGAUAUCAAGACGAAUUGUUCGGGAAAAAGUGGAUGAGCUCGAGGAGGUGUUCUACGAGGAGGUCGGUGCUGCAUUUUCCGACACAUGGGUCCUGCCGUCUUGUGUCAGUUGGGUUUGAUGCUUUUGAUUUUGAAUUAUGUGAAGGAACUCGACCCCAUAAAGUACAUUCUGGCAAAUAUUUUGGAAGAAGCUGGUGAUGCCUGCCACCUAUUUCGAUAAGCAGGUUUAAUGAUCUACUAUCCUAAAUUCCUUGCUAAAAACAUCAUCUGAGAGGAAUAUUUAGCUUGGAUUUCCUCUUGUCAUGGUAUCAACAACACAUCCUUGCCUUUAGCACAGAUAUUUAACUGGUUAAUAUAUAUGCUUUGCUUACUUCAUCAGCCUAUGUUUGAACAUUUUGUAUAAUAUUUUUAACUGGUCAACAUACUUGUAGAUCUACAAUUAUUAUGUUAGGUGUUAGACCCAAUGAAUAAGACCGAUACCCAGUAAUUUGUUAAUAUCACCAAGUCAGAACCCAUACAGGAGGUGGACUGCAUACUGCAAGUGCCUCACAUUGUUGUAUGUACCUAAUCCAAAGCAAUCCUUUGAUAUCCUCCUAUUUUCCUCUCUAAGAUAUGCAAUAUCCUACUAAUUUUGUUGGUUUGUUAAGUUAUCUUCUUGUACAUAGGUCACAGCUGAUCUAGAGACGAUCUCCACAAAGAAAAUAUUGGGCGAGUUGACCUUCCACGGGCAUGCAUAUCAGAAUCAAAUCAAAAGCCGGAAGCUUCAAUCUUGCCUUAUUCACAUAGCUUUUCAAGAUCAAAUGAGGAUUUGCCUGAUGUGGCCCAUAGCUAGAUAUUUGCACGUGAUAGGUGCACGAGGUACCAUGCAAGCAAGCAGGGUGGCCCUGAUCAUGCUGUAGGGGCUGGGUAUAUUUCUAUCUUUAUAAGACCUUUUAAGUCUGACUUAAGACAGCAAGAAGUAUGCCUCUACUUUUGGACGCUGCCAUGUGCUAUCCAUUACUUUUGAACCACCAUCAUCGUUCAUGUAACCUCCAGAAUACAUUCUCUAAGUGUGUUGUUUUUGCAUGGCUCCAUCUUAAAGUUUCAGUUAAAAACU